GCUCCAGGACUGACUCACUCUCUCUCUCUCUCUCUCUCUCUCUCUCACACACACACACACACACACACAGAGAGAGAGAGAGAGAGAGAGAGAGAGAGAGAGAGAGAGAGAGAUUCAUAUUUCCU
rnacentral:miRNA from 1 species